rnacentral:tRNA from 1 species
GCCUAGUUAGCUUGGUUGGUAGAGCGUCUGCCUCGUAAGUGCUACGUCGCGGGUUUGAUUCCCGCCUGGGGCG